AUUGAACGCUGGCGGCAGGCCUAACACAUGCAAGUCGAACGGCUGAAGAGAGCUUGCUUCUUGUUUCAGCGGCCGACGGGCGGAUGAGUCCUAGAAAUAUGCCUGUUUGUGUGUGAUAACGGCCGGACGCAGGGGCUAAUACCGCAAAACUCCUUACGGAGUACGGGGGGAAGCAGCGGACCUUCGGCUCUCGGAUGAUCCUAUGUGGCGAUGUCGGAUUAGCUAGUUGGCGGGGUAAAGGCCCACCAAGGCGACGAUCCGUAGCUGGUCUGAGAGGAUGAUCAGCCACACUGGAACUGAGACACGGUCCAGACUCCUACGGGAGGCAGCAGUGGGGAAUAUUGGACAAUGGGCGCAAGCCUGAUCCAGCCAUACCGCGUGGGUGAAGAAGGCCUUCGGGUUGUAAAGCCCUUUUGUUGGGAAAGAAAAGCAGCAGGUUAAUACCCCGCUGUUCUGACGGUACCCAAAGAAUAAGCACCGGCUAACUUCGUG
rnacentral:rRNA from 1 species